CCGGGAGGGCCGGGGCGGGCCCGGCCUGGGGCGCUCGGGCCCUCGGCCCUGAGGGGGGCCGGGCCGGCUCUGGAUCAGCGGGAGGAUGUGCCGGGAAUCGAAUUUGCUUCGGAAGGCACCGCCAAGCGCAUCUAAAUUCUUGCUUUCCGAUUCUGCAGCAAAGAACACGUCUGACUCCUCGGCCUCAGGGACAUUGUCAGUACUUUCCGUAGUGCUGUCCGGGAAUGGGAACAGCUGGUGGAGCUCUGGCAAAACACCUGGAGACCAGCCCUCUGCUUCCCAGAGAUAGUGCUUUAGGAAAGCCCCUCCAGCCUGGGAAGGAGCUUUUGGCUCCAGACACGUUCCCAGUGCCCAGGAGCAGCAGGACCUGUGCUGUUCCCAGCAGGACAGGAAAAACCACUUAACUCAUCCCAUCUUUGCCCAAAGCUUUGGUGUUUGUGCAGCCAAACCCAACGGGCUCCAGCCUGCACUGGAGGGCCCCUGGUCCUGCCCGUGGUGUGGGAUGCUGGAAUUGCCUCCCUGGAUGUGCACUGAGCUCUUGCUGCAGGGAACUGCCAGGACUUAAUGGUGGUGAGUUCAUGUUCUUCUCACUGGGGAAUUGGAAAUAAUUAUUAAUUAGUAAUUGCAGAAAUGUUUUCUGAAACCUUUCCUCUUUGCUGGUAGAUCUUCUCUUUCUGCCUUGGAAAUUACAGCUGUUCCCUGCUGUCCUUUGCCCUGCCUGAAUUCCCUGCAGCUCCACUGGGAAAACCUGGGAUAAAUCAGAGGGAACAGAGGUGACAUUUUUAGCUGAAAACCUGGGGCAGUUGAGAGGGGACACAAGAACUGUUUGUGUAGGAAAAUGAGAGGGGAUGUCAAGGGGAGCAAGGUGGCAUUUUUGAGGGAAAAGCUGAGGUGAUGAUUAGGGGAGAGAAUGCAAAUUUUUGGAGUAGAAAAGAGCUAAUCAGUAUUGUACUGGAAGGAAAAUUUUGGGGGGUAAAACAACACAGUCUGUAAGGGACAGAAUGAAUAUAUUGGAGCAAAAAUGAGGUAGUCAUUUUUAAGUAAGGAAAAUUUUGGAGACAAAACGUGACAAAAUCUCGAGUAGAGAAUGAACACACUGAGGAAAAAAUGAGGUGAUGAGUGCUGAGCAUGUAGGGAAAAUCUGGGGGCUAAAUCUGAAAUAAUCUCUAGGGGAGAGCAUGAACAUACUGAGGUGAUGUGAGGGAAUCAGCUGUGGGCAGAAUGGGGAUAUUUUGAGGGGCAAAAAUAAUAUUAAAUAAUCUGUAGGGAUGAGAAUGAACAUUUUGAGGUAAAAAUGAGGUCAUCAAUAGUAGAUGGAGAAUUUUGGGAUCAAUAAUGAGAGAAGCUACAUGGUAGAAAAUAUAAUGAAGGGAAAAUGAGGGAAUCAGUAGUGGACAGGUAGAGGAAUAACAAAAUAAUCUAAAGGUUGAGAAUAAAUAUUUUAAGGUAAAAUGAGGUAGUACAUUUGGGACAGGUAAGGAAAAUUUUGGGAGUAGAAGUGGAGUAAAUCUUGAGGGAGAGUGAACACACAUAAACUGAGGCAGUCACUAGGCAAGGAAAUUUUGGGGGUAAAACUUGGGAAGAUCUGUAGGGCAGAGAAUGAACAUCUUGAGGGGAAAAUGAAGUGAUCAGGAGUGGACCAGCUAGGGAGAAUUUGGGGGGCAAACCCUGAGCUAAUUUUUUAAGAAGAAAUGUUUUUGGGGAAAACUGAUGUGAUGUGUAGGGAACACAGUCUGGGGAUAAGACAGACUUAACUUGUGUGGUUUUGGUUUUACAAUCUAGGGGACAAAAUAGGCAUUUUGGUAAUAAAAUCUGAGCUAAUCUGUGGGUGAAAAAAUUAAUAUUUUCUGGUAAAAAUGAGGUAAUCAGUACUGGGCAGGUAGGGAAAAUUGAGGGGGUAAAAUGUGAGAUUAUCUUUUGGAAAGAGCAGGAAGAUCCUGAGGUAAAAUUGCUGUGGACAGGUGGGUAAAUUUGGGGGGUAAAACUUGAGGGAUUUGCCAUGGUAGAAAAUGAAAAGGACUAUUUUGAGGUAAAAAUGAGGUACCCAGUGGUGGAGAGGUAGAGAAAAUUUCAGGGGUAAAAUCUGAGGUGAUCUGUAGCAGAGAGGAUGCACUUGAUGGGCUAAACUGAGGUAAUCAGUUAUGGACAGGACAGAGAGGGAGAUUACUGAGGGGUAAAAAGUGAAAGCAUCUGUAGGGUGAAAAAUGAAAAUAUUGAGGUGGAAAUGAGGAAAUAGGGAGUGGACAGGUAGGGGAAGUAAUGGGAAUAAAUCUUGUGGUAAUCCCCUGAGUAGAGAAACAAUGCUUUCUUGUAAAAAGUGAGGAAAUCAGGAGGGGACAGGGAAUAUUUGUGGGGGAAUGUGAAGUAUUCCCCAGGGAAGAGAAUGAUCAUCAUGAGGUAAACUGAGGUAAUCACUUGUGGACAGGUAAUGAAAAUUUUGGGUAUAGAAAUGGAUAUUUUUUCCAGGAUGGAGAAUUAGUAUUUUGAGAUAAAAAUGAGAUAACUAGUAGUAGACAUGUAGAGAAGACCAUGGGGGUAAAACUUCAAAUAAUCUGUAGAAGUAUUUUUGAGGAAAUAUCUGAUAUAAUUUGUAGGGGACAGGAUGAACAUUUAGUGGAUGAGAUAGACAAAACCUGUGUGGUUUUUGGUUUUAAAAAUAGGUAAUAUAUAGAGGACAAAAUGCUGGGAUUUAGAGAAUUCCAUCCAUUCGGCUGAUGAAAUUUCCCAGCCCAGGGCUUUGGCUGACAGGGCAGCACAAAGAUUGUUCCCUGUGUGGUGCCCAGAUUUGGGGUUCAGCUUUGCUAGUCCAAAUGAAUUAUACCCAGAGCCCUGAAUUCCCUGCUGAAUUCCUGCUGGAAUAACCUCUCGGUGCCUCAUGCAGCAUGGAUAUUCCCACAGAGAGCUGCCUAUUGAACACCAGCUGUGCCAGGAACGAGCAGAGGCUCCAAGGAAGCUCAGUGGGAUCAGGACAAGGGCAGGUUGACAUUCCAUAGCAUUUGCUAUUUAUAACCCUUUGCUAUUUAUUCAUCCCCCAGCCCUACCCAUGUUCCUGGGGGCACCUGACAGAGUUCCCUGGAAUUCAGUGGACUCCACCCCCUGAGCUCGGGCUCCAGCUGAUGUUUCACAGCAGCAGAGGGCGGGGGCCCUGCUGAGGCAGCUCCUGUGCCCAGCGGAGGACAUCUCUCCCUGCAGGAGCUGAGCUCAUUCCAGAGCCUCGGGAGUGGCCUCUGGGAGUUCUUUUCCCUGAGGAAAGGGAGGCACAUCCCUGCCUUCAGGACACUGCAGUGUGACCCACCUGUGCAAGCUUCCCAGCAGUUCUGCAGCUCCAGCUGGCUCCCUGAAAAACUCCAAACUUCAUCCAAACAUUCAUCUAACUCUAACCUUUUGUUUUAAGGCAUCUCCGAGGGCAUUGCUUGGGAUUGAAUUGCUGUGAGGGGAAUUCCCUUGGCUGUAAGGCUGCUGCUGAGGAUGUCCCCAGGCUGGAAGGGAAGGGACUGGGGUGCCUGGGACACACCUGGUGGGUGUGUGGGAGCUCCAGAAGGUGAGCACCGGGAAUUGCUGUCCGAGCUCCUCUGCAAACCCAGCGUGCCGGCACUCCCAGGCCGUGGCAGCUGUUCCUUGGGGGGUUUUUGGGAUGGCAGUGGGCUCUGCCCGAGCUGCAGCAUCUCCGGGGGCCCGUUCAGAGCAGCCCCUGGCCGAGGAGCCGCGGGCAGCCCUCGAUCCGUGUCCAUCCCAGCGCUGCCCGGGCAUCCCAGUGCCCGCCCCGGGCUGUGUUUGGCAGCUGCCUGCCACGGGCAGGGCACUGAGGCACAGCUCCUCCCUGCAGGCACCAAGGACAGGAGGGGCUGGUUCCCUCCCUGGGGCUCAGCCUCCUCCCGCCCCGCGUUCCCGGCCAGCUGGGCCACACGGAGGGAGCACCAGGAACAUUCCUGGCAGGGAGCAGGAGUCCCCGAGGGCUCCGUGCAGCUCCGGGCCCGAGAAGCAGCCCCGGGCUGUGAGCACUCACCUGCAGGAAACGCCCCUCUGCAGGUGGGACCAGCCCUGACACUCUCCAGAACAUUGGCCUUGGACCAAGGGAGCCCUCAGGACUUGUCUUGCUCUUUUCUCCCUGGAAAGGGACUUGGCAUCAGCACCUUUACAGCUAUUUAGGAAAUGCUGGAAAAGGCAGGAAAUCAGGAAUAUGGGAAGAGGUGCCAGCCAGUUCUACCCUAGAGCCAUUCCAGAGGCUGGUGUACAAAGCAGCAUUAGCAAAACACUUGGUGAUUUGCAUAGGAAUUCCCUUGCUGGCAGCAGCCAUUCCCAUUCCAGGCAGGACCUUUCUCGUGACCCUGAUAUAGGCUCAGGUGCUUGGAGCAGGGUGCUGAGAAGGCCAGGAUUCCGAGUUUAAUGCCCACAAAGGCCAGUCACCAGCAAUUGACCUGACGAUCCUCGUGGCUCUUUCCAGUUCAGAAUAUCCUGUGCUCUGGAAAUAAAAACUAAACAGUUUUCACUGGC